CGUGCCCAAAAUUGUUCCCGCCUUCUUACACAAAAGUCACGUGUCCAGAGUGGAGGAGGUACGGCGCACAAUAUGAAUUCACGUGCAACGAGGGGUCGACUUUAAGAGGAGAGAACACAGUACAUUGCGAAGCAUUCAACACCAACGAUAUGUGGCACGGUCAAUGGACGUUUGGAAAAUCGCAACCAUUCUGUGAACUUGAGUAUACAUGCAUACGCCCGAAUACACCGGAACAUGGCGCGCUCUCGUGCGACACGUGGGCAGGGGGGCGCCUACUGCGUGCUACAGUGCCAACAGGGAUGCGUGGUCCAGGAUUGUGAGUUCGAUCCUCUACUCACUUGCAGCGACACCCGGGGAGAGUUUACAGGACUGAACGAUGACAAAUCCUUGCCUAAAAGUGCAGAGAUCACCGCCAAUGCGUUCUUUGACUUCAAGCUGGAGGAGUAUUAUUACUACGAAGGUGACUGCAAUUCGGCCAAAGAAAAGAUCAAGCAAAACUGUAUCACCGCUUUGCAAUUCAGCUUGGGCAAUGUGUGCUCGAAGUCAACUGUAGCACUUCUUACGUAGAGUUUGAACGACACAGUUUCCGGGAGAAAGGAGCGUUCAGUUGUCGAUACUCUGUCGGUUUCGGCUGUCAGGACCGUUUCGGGAAAAGGUCGCGACCAACUUUCUCCUAUGGAAGCCAUAAUGAUCCAGGAGCAGAUUUACCAGGCUCGUGCCGAGAGCAACGAUAGUCUUGAUAAUGGUCUCGCGAUGUCUCUCCAAUUAAC